rnacentral:tRNA from 1 species
GCCGAAAUAGCUCAGUUGGGGAGCUGUUAGACUGAAAAUCUAAAGAUCCCUGGUUCAAUCCGGUUCCGCA